CACACAGGGCAGAGGAGGUCUUUCUGUGAGCGGGUGAACACGUGUUUAUGUUUAGUGAUUAACAGGAUGCAGCCGGGGCUGGCAGAGGCACGAGGAACAGGAAUACAUAAUGUGCUACAUGUCCACGAGAGCUGUGCCGUCAGUCCAAAGGUGGCUGCGGGACCAUCCAGGCGUCAGAGGGCCGCACGCACGCCCUAAAUCAGGCCACCAACCGCCCCGCCAUAACUCUUGAGCCGCCCAAAGGAAGCUUGAAGAUCCCUUACCGCUCUUUAUCACCACGCGGCGCCUCGCCAUCAGCCUUAACAAACUCACGUCACUUCCUUUCAAGGUGAGACACAAUGCUUGGCCCCGACAGCUCCUUCUGCAUCACCACUCCAGCUUUUGGGAGGCUAACGGGAUGCCGCCUGCCCUCUACUAAGCCGAGGUGGAUUGGAUGGGCAGGUUAGCGGGAAGGCGAAGAUGAGGCAAGCUGCUCCUAAUU